AAGUGUUCUACCUCUUUUAGAUUUUGUCAAGCAGUUUUCUGGUUUUACUGGAAUGCUCUC
rnacentral:snRNA from 1 species